CAGCAGCCGCGGUAAUACAGAGGUGGCGAGCGUUGUUCGGAUUUACUGGGCGUAAAGCGUACGUAGGUGGUACUGUGUGUCGGGUGUGAAAGCCCACGGCUCAACCGUGGAAUUGCACUCGAAACUGCAGAACUAGAGUGCAGGAGGGGAGAGCGGAAUUCUUGGUGUACCGGUGAAAUGCGUUGAUAUCAAGAAGAACACCGGUGGCGAAGGCGGCUCUCUGGAAUGUUACUGACACUGAGGUACGAAAGCUAGGGGAGCGAACAGGAUUAGAUACCCUGGUAGUCCUAGCCGUAAACGUUGCACACUUGGUGUGGGAGGUAUUGACCCCUUCCGUGCCGGAGCUAACGCGUUAAGUGUGCCGCCUGGGGAGUACGGCCGCAAGGCUAAAACUCAAAGAAAUUGACGGGGGCCCGCACAAGCGGAGGAGCAUGUGGCUUAAUUCCAUGCAACGCGAAGAACCUUACCUGGGCUUGACAUGGCGACCUUCGGGGGUUGAAAGUCGAAAGCCUUUCGUUUAACAGAUCACAGGUGCUGCAUGGCUGUCGUCAGUUCGUGCCGUGAGGUGUUGGGUUAAGUCCCGCAACGAACGCAACCCCUGUGGUUAGUUGCCACUCCCAGGUUCAGGCCUGGAAGCACUCUAGCCAGACUGCCUGUACAAGCAGGAGGAAGGUGGGGACGACGUCAAGUCAGUAUGGCCCUUACGUCCAGGGCUGCACACGUGCUACAAUGGCCGGUGCAAUAGGCAGCAAUACCGCGAGGUGGAGCUAAUCCCCAAAAACCGGCCCCAGUUCGGAUUGAAGUCUGCAACUCGACUCCAUGAAGUUGGAUUCGCUAGUAACGCCGUAUCAGCUACGACGGCGUGAAUACGCUCCCGGGCCUUGUACACACCGCCCGUCACAUCAUGAAAGCCGUCUGCACCCGAAGUCGCUGAGCCAACCAUUCAUUUGGAGGCAGGUGCCGAAGGUGUGGGUGGUGAUUGGGAUGAAGUCGUAACAAGGUAACCGUA
rnacentral:rRNA from 1 species